rnacentral:rRNA from 1 species
UACGUAGGGUGCGAGCGUUUAAUCGGAAUUACUGGGCGUAAAGCGUGCGCAGGCGGUUUUGUAAGCCAGAUGUGAAAGCCCCGGGCUUAACCCGUAGGGAAUGGCAUUUGGGACUGCAAGGCUUGAGUGCGGCAGAGGAGACUGGAAUUCCUGGUGUAGCAGUGAAAUGCGCAGAUAUCAGGAGGAACACCGAUGGCGAAGGCAGGUCUCUGGGCCACUACUGACGCUGAGAAGCGAAAGCAUGGGGAGCGAACAGG